CUUUAUUGGAGAGUUUGAUCCUGGCUCAGGAUGAACGCUGGCGGCGUGCCUAAUACAUGCAAGUCGAGCGAAUGGAUUAAGAGCUUGCUCUUAUG
rnacentral:rRNA from 2 species